AUUGAACGCUGGCGGAAUGCUUUACACAUGCAAGUCGAACGGCAGCACGGGAGCUUGCUCCUGGUGGCGAGUGGCGAACGGGUGAGUAAUGCGUCGGAACGUACCGAGUAAUGGGGAGUAACGACACCGAAAGGUAGUGCUAAUAACCGCAUACGCCCUCGAGGGGGAAAGGUAGGGGAGUCGGCAAGACCUCACGUUAUUCGAGCGGCCGACGUCUGAUUAGCUAGUUGGUGAGGUAAUGGCUCACCAAGGCGACGAUCAGUAGCGGGUCGUGAGAGGAUGAUCCGCCACACUGGAACUGAGACACGGUCCAGACUCCUACGGGAGGCAG
rnacentral:rRNA from 1 species